rnacentral:rRNA from 1 species
GACGAACGCUGGCGGCGUGCUUAACACAUGCAAGUCGAACGGUAAGGCUCCAGCUUGCUGGGGUACACGAGUGGCGAACGGGUGAGUAACACGUGGGUGGCCUGCCCUGCACUUCGGGAUAAGCCUGGGAAACUGGGUCUAAUACCGGAUAGGACCGCACCGUGAGGGUGUGGUGGAAAGUUUUUUCGGUGUGGGAUGGGCCCGCGGCCUAUCAGCUUGUUGGUGGGGUAAUGGCCUACCAAGGCGGCGACGGGUAGCCGGCCUGAGAGGGUGGACGGCCACAUUGGGACUGAGACACGGCCCAGACUCCUACGGGAGGCAGCAGUGGGGAAUAUUGCACAAUGGGCGGAAGCCUGAUGCAGCGACGCCGCGUGGGGGAUGACGGCCUUCGGGUUGUAAACUCCUUUCACCAUCGACGAAGGGUUUCUGACGGUAGAUGGAGAAGAAGCACCGGCUAACUACGUGCCAGCAGCCGCGGUAAUACGUAAGGUGCGAGCGUUGUCCGGAAUUACUGGGCGUAAAGAGCUCCUAGGUGGUUUGUCGCGUCGUCUGUGAAUUCCGGGGCUUAACUCCGGGCGUGCAGGCGAUACGGGCAUAACUUGAGUACUGUAGGGGAGACUGGAAUUCCUGGUGUAGCGGUGAAAUGCGCAGAUAUCAGGAGGAACACCGGUGGCGAAGGCGGGUCUCUGGGCAGUAACUGACGCUGAGGAGCGAAAGCAUGGGGAGCGAACAGGAUUAGAUACCCUGGUAGUCCAUGCCGUAAACGGUGGGCGCUAGGUGUGGGUUUCCUUCCACGGGAUCCGUGCCGUAGCUAACGCAUUAAGCGCCCCGCCUGGGGAGUACGGCCGCAAGGCUAAAACUCAAAGGAAUUGACGGGGGCCCGCACAAGCGGCGGAGCAUGUGGAUUAAUUCGAUGCAACGCGAAGAACCUUACCUGGGCUUGACAUAUACAGGAUCGCGCCAGAGAUGGUGUUUCCCUUGUGGCUUGUAUACAGGUGGUGCAUGGUUGUCGUCAGCUCGUGUCGUGAGAUGUUGGGUUAAGUCCCGCAACGAGCGCAACCCUUGUCUUAUGUUGCCAGCACGUUGUGGUGGGGACUCGUAAGAAACUGCCGGGGUUAACUCGGAGGAAGGUGGGGAUGACGUCAAAUCAUCAUGCCCCUUAUGUCCAGGGCUUCACACAUGCUACAAUGGUCGGUACAGUGGGUUGCCAGUCCGUGAGGGCGAGCUAAUCCCGCAAAGCCGGUCUCAGUUCGGAUCGGGGUCUGCAACUCGACCCCGUGAAGUCGGAGUCGCUAGUAAUCGCAGAUCAGCAACGCUGCGGUGAAUACGUUCCCGGGCCU